rnacentral:tRNA from 1 species
GGGGAUUUGGCUCAGUGGUAGAGCGCUUGCCUAGGAAGCGCAACGUCCUGGGUUCGAUCCCCAGCCUCG